GAUGAAGAACGUAGCGAAAUGCGAUAAGUAAUGUGAAUUGCAGAAUUCAGUGAAUCAUCGAAUCUUUGAACGCACAUUGCGCCCGCCAGUAUUCUGGCGGGCAUGCCUGUUCGAGCGUCAUUUCAACCCUCAGGCCCCGCCUGGCGUUGGGGAUCGGCGCGGCCCUCUCCGGGCUGCCGGCCCCGAAAACUAGUGGCGGUCUCGCUGUAGUCCUCCUCUGCGCAGUAGCAACGCUCGCACUGGAACUCGGCGCGGCCACGCCGUAAAACACCCCACUUCUGAAAGUUGACCUCGGAUCAGGUAGGAAUACCCGCUGAACUUAAGAAUAUCAAUAAGCGGAGGA
rnacentral:misc_RNA from 1 species